AAAAUCUACUCGGUCUCAGCAAGGGUCUAAAAUGUAGAAUUAUGCCUGUUAAUUCUGCCUCCGUCAAGGAGCACCCAUUUAGAACAAACAAAACAAAACCCAAAGUGUCCCUUCUCAGUGCCAGCCCAGAGCACUUGGUUUCCCAGCAAAAGACACCGGGUACAGCCCCAGUCGGAAACUCCCAGCCUCAGUAAGUGGGUGAAAACGGGGUUUUCCGGAGACCUGUCCCUUUGGGGUUUAAAAGCGUGUCCCGUGGGAGCUUCGCUUUCACUUCUCUAAGGAUUUGGAGCUGUAAGAGCCCACAUCCUCGCAGAUCCCGGGGCGCCGGUUCGAUCUCCAAGUUAAUCACUGGGGCGCCUUCACAGCACCCCCCGCCUCCCUUCUCCUGGUCACCUGCGUCCUCCCCGAGCGCUUCCUGUGCGCCUGGACCAAGACCAGAGGAGCGCGCGGAUUUCCAAAGCACCGCAGGAGGAAUGAGUUGGUCUUCUGAUUCCGGGCGAUUUGAGGCAAAAGACUUCCCAAAUGACCUCUAGCCGCCUUGGCAAAAUUAGGCGACUAGGAUCUAAAAGCAUCGGUUGCUAAUGAGUCCACAGAAGCCGCAAAUGUGUGGGGCGAGAGCUGGGCUAUUGCAAGCGGGAACCAGGGAGGAGGCGUAGCAGCUCUUGCCGCGGAUGUGGUGGUGGACGAUGCCAAGUCCUCUUGUUUAAAAAAAAAAAAAAGGAAGUAAAGAAUGAUGAAUGAUUAAGAGGGCCACGGGCCACUCCCUCGGCCUCUCUAACCUCUCUUGGUCUCUUUCCUCUCUGUCUUUUGUACAUGCACCUGCUCAGGUGAGAUCUCAAAGGAAAAUAAAGCAGUGGGUCAGUCUCCUCUGGUAAGAGCUAUCUUUGGACCUAGAAAUUAAAGCCCAAAUUAGGUGGAGAAAGUGGAGACCGAUAAUAGCUCCUAACAAUGUCUCCCUUGUGCGUUUGUCUGAAUUGGCUAAUAAAUCAAAUUAUCCAUUGUGACUGUGUGUUUACAGAAGCUUAUUAGAUAAAGAUAAGUUUAUAAGAUAAACAAAAGUUUAUCUUUUUUUUUCUUCUAAACCUGAAUUAUUUAGAUAUUUUCUGUCUUGGUUCGGUUUCUGAUAUUCUGCAGAAACCCUGCUUAAAUGAAGGUGGGUGAUGUAAAGAAAUAACAGUGAUAAUAAUAUUAUGGCUAUCAUUUACCUAGCAUUUGUUCUGUACUAGUAUUGUGCUAAUCCUUUUAUAUAUGUCAUCUCAGGCAAAAUUGCCUCUGUGGUAGAUAAUUUUGUGGGAACUAAGACUUCCUUAAGUAUAUGCCCGAAUUCACUCCCCUGGUUAGUAACAAAUGUGGAACACAAACCUACUGUAAAUCAGCUCUAGAGUCCACACUUGGGAUCCUUGGGUUAGAAGUCCUGUGAACAAUGUAGAAAUUGAUGCCAGGACAGAAACAGAGUCACAUGUAGUGUGGGUAUGGCUUUGCUCCAGUGUGGGGACCUCAGGACAAGUUCCUGGAAUUUGUGAGUUCUCAAUUGAGACCCAAGCAGGUCAAUUAACUUGAUGAUGUGAGCAUUUCAGAUUCUUUGAUAGUGUGAACAAAGAAAAAAGGAAAAGAAAGCAGAGAGAAAAAAAAAAUGAAAUAGAGGGUGAAGCAGUGUUGCUUAAGGCUGAAACUUGGAUUUCUAUUCCUCUUUUAGCCUCACUUCUCACAUCCAGUCCAUAGGCAAGUCCUGUCAGCAAUACCUCUAAAAUAAAUUGCAAAUCUAUUCUGUGAAUUGCCUAAGGUUAACCAUUAAAACCCUGCUGUCUAGGGACCUUCCAGUUUCUAUUCUUGCCCACAACCUCUUCAUUCUCUUCAUAGCAGCAGGAUAUUGAUUUACAUUUGCCAUUUUCUGUGACCACCCCCUGACCACUUCCCGCUGUACAUGGGGCUUUCAUGGCCCUGAGUGAUCUGGGCUCCUGCUGCCCUCCCUGGCUCUCUGGUACCCAUGACUUUUUUCCUCCCUGUGUCCAGCCAAGCUGACUUCCACUUAGAUGAGCAUCUAGGACUUCCCUGGUGGUCCAUUGGUUAAGACUCCUCCCUUCCAAUACAGGGGUUGUGGGUUCGAUCCCUGGUCUGGGAACUGGGAUUCCAAUAUGUCAUGUGAAAAGAAAAAGAAAGUAUCUAGUACACAGCAAUGCAGAAAGUGAAAGAAUGAGAGAGGACAAUUGAGUGAGAUGCAUGAAUGAGAACAUGUGUGGAAGAGACAGUUUGUGAAGACAGGAGGAAAAUAGGAGGAAAGGGGAAGACAACAAGGGAAACGAACAAGAACAGGAGGCAGAAUGUGGCGGGGGUUGGGGGGGUGUCACGUAUUUCCAUCUGACUGGAACUUAGGGUGGAGAUGGGGAGUGGAGAAACAGGAGGCUGGAGUGAAAAGUAAAAAUGAAUUUUGUAAUUAAACACGACUAUGUUGGUUAUUGAUUUAUUUAAAAUCCCUGACAGCAGAAUUGAGGCAUGUAACUGCAUAUAGCCUGCAGUUUUUAUUUUUUUAACUUUUCCGGGACAGAUAAAAGAGCAUCCAUCAAUAACUUGCUCAGCAGGAAAUCCGUCUUCCUUUUUCAUGCAAUCCCUGUAAAACUUGGUUGAACAAGAGCUUGUGCAUAAGUGAACUCUUGGGAAGCAUGAGGGAAAAUUAUUCAGAGCUCUGAGAGGAGAUGUAAAUUCCUCACCAGACUCUGACCCUAAAUGUGAAGAAUCUCUCUGAAAAAAAUAUUCGUAAAUCAUUGGGCAUUUUUAUUAUUAUAUGCAAAUGGGCACUUUCUAACUUCAAGUUAUUCUUUUUCUGUCUAUGGCAGAAUUAGUACCAUUUGGGACAAAAUUCCAAAAUGUAUUCUUAAAUUUGUAGUUGAUAUUUUGAUAAAAUGAACAUUAUUUUUUAUUAGACAGAUAGAUAAGGAUAAAAGAAAUGUCAUGAAUUUUUAUAUGCCAAUGUUUGUGAUUAGAAAAGCUGGGUGGUUACCAUCAAGUCCACUUAUAGACCCAACAGUGCAGAAAAGCCAAUAUGGAAACAAAAUAGUAUAUAAAGUUUAUGAGUUAUAACCAAUAAAUAUUAAGAAAGAAGACAACAUUCUCAGAAUGAUUAAUACAAUGUACUUGAAAAAAUGGAAAUAAAACCAUAUGAAUGUCA